UACGGAGGGUGCAAGCGUUGUCCGGAAUCACUGGGCGUAAAGGGCGCGUAGGCGGCUCAUGAAGGCUGUGGUGAAAGUCCGGGGCUCAACCUCGGAUCGGCCGUGGCGACUCGUGGGCUGGAGCACUGUAGAGGCGGGUGGAAUUCCGGGUGUAGCGGUGGAAUGCGUAGAGAUCCGGAAGAACACCAGUGGCGAAGGCGGCCCGCUGGGCAGUGGCUGACGCUGAGGCGCGACAGCGUAGGGAGCAAACAGG
rnacentral:rRNA from 1 species